rnacentral:lncRNA from 1 species
GUUUACUAAAGUUAUUUAAAAAAAUUUUUUUUGGAAAGGAUCUGAGUGAAUUUUUUACUCAUCAGAUUUACAAUUCUCUCUACAGCAUUUUUUUUUUAAAGUACAGAUUAAAAUUUUCAAAUAUUUCCUUUUAUUAAGUUGAUUUUUAUAUAAUAGUGAAAGAGCAAAUAUUUAAAAAUUAAAAUGUGUAAAUACCUAUUGUUGAGCUCUGUAAAUAUCUGGGGGCAUGGCAGUGCCUCUUCCAAAUCGAGCAAGCAUGGCCGUACCAUCCUUUUCUGGAAGGAACUCGGGGUACUUUUGACACGUCCAUAUCUCUGCGUUGGAGUUGCCCAAGAACCUGAAAUUUUUUUAUCUAGAGUAGUUGGUAAACGGAACGAAACCUCUAAAUUUCAC